UACGGGGGGGGUAAGCGUUGUUCGGAAUUACUGGGCGUAAAGGGCUCGUAGGCGGCCAACUAAGUCAGACGUGAAAUCCCUCGGCUUAACCGGGGAACUGCGUCUGAUACUGGAUAGCUUGAGUGUGGGAGAGGAAUGCGGAAUUCCAGGUGUAGCGGUGAAAUGCGUAGAUAUCUGGAGGAACACCGGUGGCGAAGGCGGCAUUCUGGACCAUUACUGACGCUGAGGCGCGAAAGCGUGGGGAGCAAACGGG
rnacentral:rRNA from 1 species